CCCACAGAUAAAAAAUACUGUGUCUUUUUCAGUCCUUUUGUCCUUAUUUAAAAGCCUCAGUGUGAUAUAUUGUGACUGUUUCUUUGCUGUCAAAACCUGUAAUUCCUCGAAGAUUAUAUUAAAAGAAAAGGUGGGCUUCAGGAAGGUUAAACCAGGACCACGAAUCACUACUCUGAGAGAAAUGCUAUGAAGUGUAAAUGCUCAGUUGUCCUCCCGUUGAGCUCAUGUUGCUGACAGUUGUGGUUCCUAAAAGAUUUGUGAGUCAACUCCAAAUCCUCUAAUAAAAUGCUUUAAGUCUGAGUGAAAUAUAUGCUGGCAACUCUGUUCUCCUACAUUUCUUUUGUUUUGCCAAUCACAACUUUUCACAAAGUUUUUUCUGUGUCCCAUGAUAGAUGAUGAUCAAAGCCUCUCAAUUCUCGUUGAAAUAACCACGAUCACAUCUUUAUCUCAACUUAACUUGCACAUUUCUACCAGUUCUUUUGUACAAUUGGUGUUCUGGUUUUGAAUCUCCUGACCACAUUGUCCCUCGGCUUAAACACCUUUUAUAUACGAGGUACAGUGCGCAAGAGUGGUCAUUGAUAACAGCACGUGUGUACAACACCUGUAAUGCCACAGAUUGUUUAGGCUGAACAGAUCAAAUUAUUUACAUGAUGUGGAACCACCCUCAAAAAGAGAGGUUCAAGCUCUGGAUGCAGCUGUUCAAAGCUGUGCCAAUAGGAGUAAUCUGAUUGGCUCUGACUGCUAGUCAAGUGCGAGUUGUGAUAACACAUCUCUCCUUCCCUGUCGCUGCUCUAUUCUCUCCUAAUCUUUUACUGACUCGCUGGCACUUAAGUGGCGGUUUCUCUUUUGGAUUCAGGUCCCCACAGGGUUGGGCAACGUCUGUAAUACACCCUACUAAGAAAUAGUGUGGAAAUUGCUUUUUUUGCUUUUCUCCAGCCAUUGCUAGUAGAGCAAUUUACACCCGGAUGUUCCCUACCUUCCACUUGACACAGGGUGGGAAUACAAAAUUUACAAAAAGAAGUUAUCUAACCUUAAGAAAGAGCGAUAUGAAUAGAAAAGGAGAGGAGAUGGGAAGAGGGGAGGCGUCACACCUGAGAGGCCGAGAGUGUCUUUUUUUGAUCCUCACAUGGCAACUGUUGCGUUUUCGAGAGACAUCCGUCUUCCUGUCUGUAUACACACGCUAUUUCCUUAUUUAUUUACCAGAUUUCCUCUAUUCCGACCCAAUGCCCAGACGUACACUUGGUGUUUUUCCUCAAGUAAGAUAGGAGCACAAUAAUGUUCCCCCAAACAGUCCGUCACCAGCACCAAAUCCCUGCACAGAGAGAGAGAGAAAACACUAAUCAUGAGUCUGUUUUUGUGCGGUGUGAAGGUACAUUGUUGCUGAAAAGGGACAUCCGCCAUCAACUGACCGUGGAACAGAUCCAGAAUACUCGAGGACGUCUUACACUUACGUUAGCUGGGACUAUUUCUUGUCAUCUACGUUUCAAAUUCCUGGCUAAUCAUUUAUUGCAAUCAGUGCAGUUCCCUUGCAGACUAGUGUGUAAGGCACUUCCCUGCACACGUCUGACUAUUUUCUCUGUAGCAGACUUAGAAAUAAAUAAAUUAAGUCAGACGCCAUUAGACGUUCAGAUGGUUGUUACUUUUCUUGGGGGCACUGCUGGCUUUAAAGGUCAGAGCUGUUUUUUCUGAUCUGCUUUGUUUGAGGUUUGCUCUUGACAGAGAACAACAGUAUGAAGAUGCUGUCACACUAUUCUUUUUCUUUUUGCACCAAAGCUCAGCACUCAUCUGUAGUUUAAGCUAUUCAUUCGAAAAAGUGGGUACAGUAUAUACCAUGAAACUGCGUUCCUUAAUCAUGGCAUCAAAGGCACCUGCAGCAAAAAAAUAAAAAUAAUGCACAAGAUGUAGAACAAGGCAAGAUACUCCAAUAUCUUCCAUCAUCAAAGAUCUUUAGUGUUGAAAAUAAGCUAAAAUGAUACAGGCGAUUAAAUAAAUUGAGCAAAGGUUUGUUUGUGUUGCAAACCCUUACAAUUCCUGUGAGAAUGUCAACUUGCACACAUGACUGUACCAAAAUAGGACUGAACAUCCAUCUAUUGAGUAGAAAAACUCAUUUAUUCUGCCAUGCAUUGUAAAAAAUCAAAAAGGAAUGAAUGCAAAAGUGACAAAGACGUUUGUCUUCUUUAAUUUUUGGUUUUAAUGCCAAAGUCAUGUCCUCAUUCCAUGCAUAUUUAAAGUGGUGACAGGGCUAAUGUUUAUAUGAUUUCAACAAAAGGUUUUCAUUUUUACCCUCCGCUAUCAACAGUCGAGACUGAAGAGAAAGUUACGAGUGCGGAUUUGUUUUGUUAAGCUCAGUUCCAAGAAUAUGUUUUUCAUUCGGAUAUAUUAAGCCAAAGCUUCUUUCAGCUACAUUCUUAUGUAUUAGCUUAGCCAAAUAGAAGAAAUGGCAAGCAAUAUAGUGAGUUGUGCUAACUAUUACCCCAAACUUAAGGCUGAUGAGGCUCAACAGGGGAAACUGAUCUGGGACCAUUGUUUGCUGCUGGUGAGCAGGAUCUCUGAUACCUCUGAAAACGCCUAUAUAGUGGUAUUCAUUGUAUUCAAAAGAGACUGAAGAUGAAUAUAGUGCAUGUUGAGGAUUGGAUGCAAAUAUUUAUUUUUGUACUCCUCCAGCAGACUGUAACAGACUUGGUCCAAUCAGUCGUGACACUUGAAUCAUAAUCGGUCCAACAAUACGUGUUUGCCCCUGAACAUGUUUGUAUUCACGUGUGGCCCAAGAGGAAGCGUGAGUGUUUGACUUUCUGUGCGUGGCAUUAGACUCGGAUGUAAAUGAAUGCGCAGUGAUUGGCUGUGCUGUUUAUUCAUAAUCAUAAUGAUCUGAUCCAAAUGUAGACGCAGCAGGCCAUCGGUUUGAGUGUGUGAGUAGAAUAGUAAUGGCCUUGGUAAAUCACUACGAAGGUGUGCGUGAGUGAGGCUGAGCAGGUUUUUAUUUUCUCUCGGCUCUUUAAUGACCGUUUCAGCUGCAUGGAAAUGUUGUCCGUGGAGUUUUUCUUUUGCACUUUGUCUCAAUGCUUUCGAUGUUUUAUUUAAAGUACUUUGAAGAAGCACUGAUGCUGUAUGGGCUCCAUAAAUACACCUGUCUCGGCGGGUUGAAAUGUAAACAUGACUGAUGAGCAAAGGUGGGAAGCAAGGAGCAGUAGACAUGCACAUUCUAUGUGCACACUCAGUUGUGAAUACACGGCCUCUCAAUUUGAAUGGAUAUAUAUAUACAGAUAUAUAUUGUUGCAUAUACACAUGCAGGAUGUGCUAAGUUAUGUAAUGACUGUAUGACAUCUGGAUGGCUGCAUGUGAACAACCCGAUAAACAAGAAGACAUGCAUGAAACAAAACUGCUGAUUCUAGUAAACUGAAAUAGCCUGUUUCAUUUUUCCCGACAGUUAGAUAAACAGUGAGAUAUAUUUUUUUUCAGCACAAGUUGGGAAUUCCUGUAGCAAGUAUCUCUAAAGGCCCCUUAAAUCCUGCCUCCAUCGCCAGCUGGCUUCAGAGAGCCUAAAAAGUCUAGGCAGCCUUGCGGGAAAGAAACUGCGCCGUUUUGAUUGACUCAAAAAUAAAUACAAAAGAGAGAAACAGAGAUAAGGUAUGAAGGGAAAACAAAAAGAAUCCAAGGGAUUCUCUUUACUGAGAGGCAAAGUGAAGGCAGAGUCAACAUCCUCAGUUGACACAGGGUGGGAAAGAGAAACAGAGAGAUAGCACAUGGAUAAAUAAAAUCUCAGAAAGGGAAAAGCUUCACAGCAAAAAAUCUACUGGAAGAAAAGCAAGACCGAACAUCUUUGUGAGGAUUAAAGAAAAAGUGUAACCGCCCAGUUGUUUCUUUUCCUCCCAGAGGCCCCUUAGACAACAACUGGUGCUUUAAGCUUGGACAGAUAGCAGACAGAGGGAUGACGGUUAGAGAGAAGGAGAAUACCGCAGGGGCCUGGGAGACACACACACACACACACACACACACGUACACAAUGUGUGUGACACACACAGCAUUGCGCACAUAUAGGCACACUUUCAUUCCAGCUUCCUUUGGUACAAAGGCAGUGACGUUCACACACACACACACACACACACACACAAAAAAAAGUGUCUUUCGCUCUCUUUCUCUUCCUUGUCCCCGUGGAGCUGUGAUGAUGGAGAUGGAGAGCGGUGUGUAUUGACUGUGACACAAAGCAGCAUCCAGCACAAGAACCACAGUGGAAAAAGGCAUCAAAAACAGGUCCAGUCUUGUCUGCUGCUCCAACGCCCUCAUAACAUCCUGUGAGGGGGGCACAAACUCGGAGAAGCAAGCGGGGGGACAGGUUUGGGAGGAUCCAAGUUGGACGUGGUGAGAGAGUGCUUCAAGCCACAUCAAAUCACUGCACAGAUGGGAGGGUCGUCAUGGUAAUGUAAAGCUCACGUUUGCCUCCUUCUCUGGGUUUCGACACGCCGUUUCCUCCGCCUUCCUUUCACUGUUCACUGUAUUGUUUCACAUGUCUUUAGUUACGUAGUUACGCACGGUGCAUUUUUUUUUCAGACCACGGUUUGACUUUGAAUCUUGAUUUCUGAUCUGCUACUUGUGUUUGUGUGUCUGUUUGUCAGGACCGGGUGCUCUCUACCCCGAGGUGCCACAACGUUACAGUAGAAAUGAGACUUUACCCAGCAGGGGGCAGGAGAGACCCUCAACAGACAGCAGCUCCCCGACGCCUCUGGUCUUUUGUGGAGUUUUGUAAUUGGCAGUUCACACUUCUUUGCUUCUUUCUUCCCCCCCUCCCUUUACAAUUAAAUGAUGGGAUGUGUAAGUAGAUAGAAGCAGAGCACUCUAGAUUAAAAGAUGGCCAUCGUGAAGGGUUUUCCCUCAGGAUUUGUAAACAUCGUAGGUUUGGAGAAAGUUGCAGGUUGUUUUUGUAAAUGCUGUUUUGUUUCUGUUUUGCUAGUAUAUCUCAAACGGAUAAUUUGCUGAGCUGCAAAUGCUAAAUACAUUACUGAUUGUUUGCUGAAGAGACAGUCACCCGGUGUAUCAGACUUUCAAGAUUUAGUCAUCGAGAGAGACUGACUGCAAGCAUGCAUGCACGCCUGCACAACUCCUCGCCUGCAAGUUAUCAGAUGCAUAAAGCGCUGCGAUCAAUGCAACCAUCAAGAGAAUCUGAUGGGUAAAUAUUUACAGACCGGGGCAGUUUCCUUUACACCACAGUCGUGCAUUGGGUUCUUGCUUCAUCUUGCAGUGUGAUGUUGCAUUAAGGAGCAAUACCCCGGGUCUCUCUUUGAACCACCUAGUCAGUGCUCAGAAAGUUUUCCUCUAACUAGUCAACAGGCAGCAGGAAGAGUAAUGCUGACUUUUUUCAGGUGACAUUUUUACAGUUUUAAACAGCUUGACAGCUUUCUAAAAACAUUCAGUUAUUGUCAUUUUAACCUAUAUAAUCGGUCAAUUUUUAUUCAUUUUUGUAAAUCGUUAAUAUAUCACUAAUUCAAGACCUCCCUGUCUUUCAUCAAAAGAGAACAUUGUGAGAAUGUUAUUUGUAUUCUUUAUGCAUAUAUAUAUUAUCAUUAUUGCACAGUUAGCAGUGGCCGGUGCGAGUGACAGAUAAGAUGGAAGUUCAAAUAUUGGGUGUCUGACAUUCCUCGCAGAGUUCAAAGACAUUGAAGCACACAACAAGUGCCACGGUGCACCGAGCCAUCAACUCGUCCAAUCGGCUGCCCGGUCAAAGGUGGAUAUGACUCUGUGAUAAUCCCUGGGGUCUCCCUUUCAAACCUCUGAUCACAACCUCUCAUUUCCUCUACUAGUUUGUCAAUAAUUGGAUUGGAAUCACACGCACACACACACACAAUCCAUGGUUCUGCUAAGCCGCUCCGUCACUGGCUGUCCUCAGGUAUUGGUGGUAUUUGCAAAGAUCCUAAUUGCCCAAGUGUCUAGAAAGUUGCCGUUGAGAGUGUGGCUGGGUAAUGAGCUCUCUGGCAGAGGGUCAGUAGUUAGCCGAGGCAACACCGGGCUGUGCUCCCUGAUAAAGGUCACGUUCCUCCAGGGAAUAAUGCCACAGCCCGAUGUGACGAGUGAGGAAAGCAGACAAGCCAGCCUUUCGCUUGCCAUUAAAAAACGAAUUGAGUGAACCACAGAGGGGAUGAAAUUCUUUUGGAUAAGGUGGCCGGUCCUCCAGGCAGCAAAGUCCACUACAAAGACUCAGUGCCACAUAGAACAGACAAACUGCUGUGCAGUUGUAAGGGCCUGGAGAGGACAUGACAUAAUACCCAAAGGAAACUCUAUACUGUAAUAUCUCUAUUAUGGCCUUGAACAGUAUGCUUUUAGGUGGACACAUUUAAAUAUAAAUAUAUAUGUUGAUGAGUUUUCUUGUAUAAGUCAAGAAAAAUCUCCAUAGGUAAAAUACAAUGCAAAUGCCUUUUUUUCUGCAUUGAGACUAUUAUUUGGGAUUAUUUUUGUAUUUCUCUACGGAAUUUUAGAGGAACUUUAUGAUUUAGAAAUCAGGAAGUGAUAGGGGUCUUUCUGUAAUACUAGGUGUGGUAAUGUGGCAAUGAUCACCAGACCAAACACAAAUACAAUAGCCAUAAACUGUCACCGCACGUCACCAAUUUUUGUAAAAUUUACUAAACACAGGGAAAAUCCCUAUCAAAGAGAUACAUAAUGCAUUUAAAAACUAUACUUAAAAUAAAUACAUGUGGUGUAAAUGCUGCUAAAGUGCAAAUUAAUGCAAGGGAAAACCUUGUGGAAAAACCCCAUAGUCACUUACCUUGUCCUCAUCAUCGUAUACGAGUGUGCUUCAGCUCAGCAGCCCAAUAAACAGUGAGCCAGGUGAAGGAGGGGCGUAUUCAGUCAUAGUCAAUAAACCCAUUUAGGCCAUUAGCGGAUAACAUAGGGCCUUCCUGGCCUUCUUGUUGUGUCUUUCAUGUCUUUUUGUUAUUCUAAUGCCAUGCUCACCUUUCCUCUUUAUUAAGCCCUCACACGUGGCUUAUGAAGAGAGAAAACACGACCCACGGCUUUGGUUUGUGAAAGCUGAAAACAAAUGUAAAAAAGUAAAAGCAUCUACUAAUGGAACAAGUGGGAAACAUAAUAUCCUCCUCUCCUUACUUCACCAUGCCACAUUUUUCUCUUACAAAUUUUGUCUCUCUCGCUUUCCAUUUGCUCACAGAAACUCCAUUAAAAGUUGAGAACUAGUGCUGUACAAAACAUCAACCGCAGUGAAACAUUUUUCUGUUCUCUGCACGUGUGUGUUUGAGAAGUUCAAACAUGUGUUUUCUUCAAUUGUUUUCAGUGGGAUUUGAAGUUAGACAUGAAGACACACACAUAGUCCACUUUGCGUUGGCUUUUUUGUUCAAACAGUUUUUUCUCUCUAUGUUGUUAAGAACCAUGAUUUCGUUUUUCUUUACAAAGUCAGUUAUGUUUUUCACAGCUUCCUGUACCGCCCAAUAUUGUUAUAAAUAACUGUUGAUAAUUCUGCUUUAUAACAUGAGACGGUUUGUUAGGCAAAUAAAUAAUUUGUUUUUCAUUGAA